AUCCAUGGCAUAAGUAACGAUAAAGGAAGUGAAAAUCUUCCUCGCCGUAAGCACAAGGUUUCCAGGGUCAAGCUCGUCUUCCCUGGGUUAGUCGGCCCCUAAGUCGAGGCACAAAUGCGUAGACGAUGGAGCAACAGGUUAAAUAUUCCUGUACCACCUAAAACUUUAGCAAUGGAAUGACGGGGUACGUUAAGCACGCGGACGAUUGGAAAUGUCCGUAUCACAAUGAGACCGGUUAGUAGGCAAAUCCGCUAACAUAAGGUUAGGUUGUGGUUAAGGGAAAUCUUCGGAGGAACUGAUAGUGUGGCGCAAGGCUUUCAAGAAAUAAUUUCUAGCUGUUGAUGGUGACCGUACCUAAACCGACACAGGUGUGCGAGAUGAGUAUUCUAAGGCGCGCGAGAUAACUUUCGUUAAGGAACUCGGCAAAUUAUCCCCGUAACUUCGGAAGAAGGGGAGCCUCUUAGAGUGAUUGCCUUUACGGCAUGAGCUCCGGGGGGCCGCAGAGAAAUGGCCCAGGCGACUGUUUAACAAAAACACAGCACUAUGCAAACCUCUAAGGGGAAGUAUAUGGUGUGACGCCUGCCCAAUGCCAAAAGGUUAAAGGGAUAUGUCAGCCGCAAGGCAAAGCAUUGAACCCAAGCCCUGGUGAAUGGCCGCCGUAACUAUAACGGUGCUAAGGUAGCGAAAUUCCUUGUCGGGUAAGUUCCGACCUGCACGAAUGGUGUAACGAUCUGGGCACUGUCUCAACGAAAGACUCGGUGAAAUUGUAGUAGCAGUGAAGAUGCUGUUUACCCGCAAAAGGACGAAAAGACCCCGUGAACCUUUACUGUACUUUGGUAUUGAUUCUUGAUUUGUUAUGUGUAGCAUAGCCAGGAGACUGAGAACACUCUUCGUCAGGAGAGUGGGAGUCAUCGUUGAAAUACUGGUCUUAACAAGUUGGGAAUCUAACAUAAUUCCAUGAAUCUGGAAUAUGGACAUUGCCAGACGGGCAGUUUUACUGGGGCGGUAUCCUCCUAAAAAGUAACGGAGGAGCCCAAAGCUUAUUUCAUCGUGGUUGGCAAUCACGAGUAGAGCGUAAAGGUAUAAAAUAGGUUGACUGCAAGACCUACAAGUCAAGCAGAGACGAAAGUCGGGCUUAGUGAUCCGGCGGUGGAAAGUGGAAUCGCCGUCGCUUAACGGAUAAAAGGUACUCCGGGGAUAACAGGCUGAUCGCCACCAAGAGUUCAUAUCGACGUGGCGGUUUGGCACCUCGAUGUCGGCUCAUCGCAUCCUGGGGCUGGAGAAGGUCCCAAGGGUUUGGCUGUUCGCCAAUUAAAGCGGUACGCGAGCUGGGUUCAAAACGUCGUGAGACAGUUUGGUCUCUAUCCUUUGUGGGCGCAGGAUACUUGAAAGGAGCUGUUCCUAGUACGAGAGGACCGGAAUGGACGAACCAAUGGUGUGUCGGUUGUUUUGCCAAAAGCAUAGCCGAGUAGCUACGUUCGGAAAGGAUAAGCAUUGAAAGCAUCUAAAUGCCAAGCCUCCCUUAAGAUAAGGUAUCCCUAUGAGACUCCAUAUAGACUAUGUGGUUGAUAGGUUGGGUGUGUACGCACAGUAAUGUGUUUAGCUAACCAAUACUAAUAAGUCCAUUGACUUGGUUUU
rnacentral:rRNA from 1 species